rnacentral:rRNA from 1 species
UACAUGGGGUGCAAACGUUGCUCGGAAUUAUUGGGCGUAAAGCGCGCGUAGGCGGUUACUUAAGUCGGAUGUGAAAGCCCUCGGCUUAACUGAGGAAGUGCACCCGAAACUGAGUAGCUAGAGUACGAAAGAGGGUCGCGGAAUUCCCGGUGUAGAGGUGAAAUUCGUAGAUAUCGGGAGGAACACCGGUGGCGAAGGCGGCGACCUGGGUCGAGACUGACGCUGAGGCGCGAAUGCCAGGGGAGCAAACGGG